rnacentral:rRNA from 1 species
CGGAGGGUGCAAGCGUUAUCCGGAUUCACUGGGUUUAAAGGGUGCGUAGGAGGGCAGGUAAGUCAGUGGUGAAAUCCCCAAGCUUAACUUGGGAACUGCCGUUGAUACUAUCUGCCUUGAAUAUUGUGGAGGUGAGCGGAAUAUGUCAUGUAGCGGUGAAAUGCUUAGAUAUGACAUAGAACACCAAUUGCGAAGGCAGCUCACUACGCAAUCAUUGACUCUGAGGCACGAAAGCGUGGGGAUCAAACAGGAUUAGAUACCCUGGUAGUCCACGCCCUAAACUAUGGAUACUCGACAUACGCGAUACACAGUGUGUGUCUGAGCGAAAGCAUUAAGUAUCCCACCUGGGAAGUACGACCGCAAGGUUG